rnacentral:misc_RNA from 1 species
UCUCCGUUGGUGAACCAGCGGAGGGAUCAUUACUGGAAUCGCAAGAUCCCACAACCCUGUGAACCUACCGAAACGUUGCCUCGGCGGGCGCCCGGCCUCUGCGCCGGGCUCUGCGCCCGCCGGCGGCCCCCUACUCUGUCUCUGCAGCGUGGCAUCUCAGAGUCCCAGAAAACAAGUCAAAACUUUCAACAACGGAUCUCUUGGCUCUA